CUGACCGUAAACGAUGCCAACUAGCGAUCCGUCGGCGGCUCUACGGCCCUGAUGGGGAGCUUCCCGGAAACGAAAGUCUUCCGGUUCCGGGGGAAGUAUGGUUGCAAAGCUGAAACUUAAAGGAAUUGACGGAAGGGCACCACCAGGAGUGGAGCCUGCGGCUUAAUUUGACUCAACACGGGAAAACUCACCCGGCCCGGACACCGUGAGGAUUGACAGAUUGAUAGCUUUUUCAUGAUUCGGUGGUUGGUGGUGCAUGGCCGUUCUUAGUUCGUGGAUCGAUUUGUCUGGUUUAUUCCGAUAACGAGCGAGACUCCAGCCUACUAACUAGUACGGGCAUUGCCUCUGUGCCCGGCACUUCUUAGAGGGAUUGGCUGCGUCUAGCGGCACGAAACGGAGCAAUAACAGGUCUGUGAUGCCCUUAGAUGUCCGGGGCUGCACGCGCGCUACACUGGCAAAGGCAGCGUGCUUGUCCGUCUCCGAAAGGAGCCGGUAAACCCUUGAAAAUUUGCCGUGAUUGGGAUCGGAAAUUGCAAUUAUUUUCCGUGAACGAGGAAUCCUAGUAAGUGCGAGUCAUCAGCUCGCGUUG
rnacentral:rRNA from 1 species